rnacentral:lncRNA from 1 species
GAGGGGAGGGGGGAGCCUCGGCGUCGGCGCGUCGCCUUGCUGGGCCGCGGCCGGUGGUCAGGAGGGAGAGAGGAGGAGGAGGAGGAGGAGAAGGAGGAGGAGUUGCCUGCAGUGUUGCUCCUCUCAUUUUGUGCUGGAUCUGUGAGUUCGGGAUGUUCUCUCCUAAAGGGGAUUCUUCUCAGCUCUGCUGUUUGGUCAGAUAGUCUGAUCAUCACCAGCUGCCAGAAGGAGCUGAGAAGGAUCUUGUCUUCCUGCACUGUGGUCAAGGUUGUUGCCUGUAGUUUGUUGCAGCCUUGGCCCCUUGGAGCUCAGUCAGCAAGGCUCUCAGGUCACUCUAUAGGGCUGGGGUGUUGGAGCUUGAGCUUUUCUACCCUCUGAAGACUUCUUAUCUGUGAGAUGAGCUUCUUAUCUAUGAAGACUUCUUAUCUAUGAGAUUGAUCCAGGGUGGAGUUGAUCUGCAAAACUGGAUGUGCCCUGAGGGGAAAAACUUUGGAAGGAGUGGGGGCAAGAUGAUCUGUUUUUAUUGUGAUUGGACUGUCAGAGCUUCUCUUCCAGCUGCCUCUCCACCAUCUGUGUUCUAAGCCCUGAGCCUGGAACAUCUUUGCUGACAAUGUUCUCCCUCCGGACUAGUACCCUUGCCACCCAGAGAUUCCAGCCACUGCUGUUGACUCAGCACUGUAGGUGAGGGAGGGGACCUGGGUCCUUCCUUCUUCCCCUUAAACCUGCCUGUUCUAGAGUUCAGGCUUUUUUGUAGGUAUACCUUUUAAGUUGGGUUCAGGAGUAGGGUUCCAUAGCUCUGUCCUGUUGUUAGAUUUGGUUUUCAGUCCCCUUGACGCAUUGUGUUUUUGAUCGGUGAGGAAAGGUUUAUAGAGGUCUGAAUUUUUGCUGCCAUUAAGCCGUCAUCUUGACACCACCCUCCAUAAUUCAAAUUCUUAUUUCAGUUAGAUCUUAUUUCUCAAUAAGUCUAAAUUACUGAUUUUAUUAUUAAUAUUAUUAUGAUUAUUAUUUGAUGUGGGCCAUGUGCUUUCACUCAUACUGAACUCCUAAUGUGGAAAAAAAAAUACCUCCGUGAAUACAGAUGAAGAAUUCGUCAAUAACUGAUAGUUUUAGAAAUUUUCAUGAGUCAUUGAGAAGUUAAAUGACUUGCCAAUGGUCUAAUCUAACAUAAACCAGAGUCAAGUUGUGAAUCCAGGUCUCCCUCUGCUCCAGAACUCACCCUCUUCACUGCCCCAUGCUUGUUUUUUUUUUUUAAUAUAAUUUUUAUUUUUCUGCCAUUGCUGUACAGAGGAAUUUAGAAUGUUUUAUAUAGAUAAUAUCCUUUUUAGAUAGGUAGAGCCUAUUAUUAUCUCAAGGCUGAUAGCAG